CAAUCGCCAGCCGACUUCCGUUUCUCUGGAUUUGCCCAUUCUGGACACCUGUUGUGAGGAGAAUCGUACAGUGCGUGACCUUCGGUGCUGACAUCUUUCACGUCCAAGGCCACACCUGCAAAUACCUCCAUCUGAAGUGGCAUCGUUUGUAAGUCAUUCUUUCUAUAAAGGCGGCCGUUAGUGGAAGAAGUGGUUCUGCAGGUUCAUAGCUCAGAGGCACCGUGCUCUCUCAAGAUAACCAUAAAAUCCGCAGAAGACGCACCUGUGCACACUUCCUGCUUCUCACUCAGAACAUUCCAGAAGGAACCCUGAAUCCCGAUGCCGCAGCGUGACUGAAGUUUGCUCUCACCCACACAAUAAACCCAGCGAGCUCCCCCAGCCCCCACCCCGGGGCCACAGCCUUGGUCCUCUGUCUGGUCUAGGAGGGCUCCUGCAGCUCCAGCCUAACAGGGAAAAGCAGGCACCCACAUGUCAGAAAGCCCUCCCAAAGCCCGGCGAGCACUUCUACUCAUGUGCCAGCCAAGUGCGUUUGAGAAGGAUACAGCCAGCUGUACGGCAGGCAGCGAGGUACCCAGCAAAUACUCAGGGUUCAUGUUACUGAGGAAGGAAGGUGAACAGCGAGAUACCCAGCAAGUACUCAGUGCUCACGUUAUGGAUGAGGAAGCCAGGCAGAUAAUGAGGUACCUAGCAGGGUUCACGUUUCCGUGGAGGAAAGGAGGGUGAAGACAAGGGGGAUGGAACAGCCUGUCAUAAGCUUUAGCUUUUAAAAGGCUCACUGAAGAUUAUCCGAUUUGAUCUUAACAGCUCACAAGAUAGGCAGAGGCACGACUCUUUCACUUCAUAAAGAGAUCCCGAGAACUGA